ensembl:lncRNA
GCUGUGAUCCUCCCAGGCUGCUUUCUUAGUCCUCUUCAACCUUGGGUUGUCCAAAAUGGGGAGCUGCUGCCAGAGAAGCUGCCCACCUGCUGGUGGAGCUCAGAGCCUGAGGACUGCCCAGCCCAAUGAGUGUCUCAGAGGAUGCCCAGACCCUGGAAUUCAAGAGCCUGGUGGGAGCAAUUUUCAGAGUGAGGCAUGGGUCACAUCAAUACAUGCAGUGGCCUGUUCACCAACUAUCUAGAGAGAAAAUCUGAGGAGGACCGUGCGGAAGAAGGGACUACACAGGACCAUAUCCUGGACCCCUUGGGCCUCCGUGGUGAGGGGGCCCGGCACAGGAGAACUGUUGGAAGUGAACAGGUGUUAUCACAGUGCUUUCGAGCUCGGGAGGCCCAGGGACUCAGAAGCCUAUCACUGGGAUCUGAGAGACCCGAUGACCCACAAGGCAACCAAGAGAGGAAGGUAAAGGCGAAAUCAACAAGAUCCGUUGAAGUGGGCACCUGUUGCUCUGAGCUGUCCAGCUUCCUGUCCCCUUCUUCAGGCAACAGUACCUCCCUAUUCUCUGAGGACCUGUCACACCUCCGUUCCUAGGGGUUCUAGUGGAGACAGACAAGGGACCAGGCCUUGACAAAAGCACCUAAGGCCAUAACAAUUGACUGGGGGUGGAUGGGACACCAAGAAGGGCCAACCAGGAGUCUGGUGUGAGCUUUUAUAUGGGGAGAGGGUCCCUAACUGGAGAUCACAGAGGCCUCAAGUUGUCUGCUAUGUCUCCUCUCCCUGUUGACUGCAGUCUUAGCUUCACCAUGGUCUUGUAAGAAGGGGUACCAUUAUUCUUCUUUACAGAUCAGAAAAGAAAGAUUUGGAAAGCUUAAGAAGCCUGUUCAGGAUCACACAAAAAUGGAUUUCAAUACUGUUCAAACGUGUCUUGACUCCAAACCUUCUAAACCUAUGCAUUUUGCUGCUGCUUUAAGGACUUGGGUUAGAUGAACAGAAUUGUAAUCGAUUAAGGAAUCUCCACUCAGUGAUACCUUAACAUGACAUGCUUUUAUUUCUUUUCCAACCAAUCUUGUAACCAAUUUCUAUCAUAUUUCCCUUUUCCCUUCCUUCUUGAGAUCCUGGAUGGAUCCCAUAACUUUAGUGUGACUUUUAGUAUUAGAAAUCCAUUCAGGUUCAUUAAAAACUACCAUCUUGUUUCUGGUUUAUAUCACUGACACUCCCUUCCUAUCAUCCAGGCUUGGGAUCCAGUUUCUGCUCUUAGGGACUUAGAGUGGGGAAGGGCCUUGGUCAGCAUUCAGUCCUCCAAUUGCUGCAGCCAGUUUCAGGGUGGGGAGGUGUUUGUGUGUGUGGAUAUGUCUAGUGUCCAGUGAAGGGAGUCAUGUGUUGGUUCUGAGAUACUUCCCUCUUCCUUUUCAGGGUCAAACUUUUCUGGUUGGGGCCUGGUAGGGCAAGAGGGGAAGAAGGGUAAUUUGUCUUAAUCUCCCCUAGUUGAACCCCUCUCUCCGUGGUGGUUGCCACUUAACUGAGUGUGGUUUGUGUCCAGUUAUUGGUUUCUGGUAGUAGGAAGUUCAGCUCAGUCCUUGUUGGGACUCUUCACCUGCAGCUUUUUGGUGUUGAGGUACACUUUGCCUGUCAGGCAGCCCCUCCUGAGAGAGUGGUUCCAGUAUAGACUACCAAUGGUUCCAGUAUAGACUACCCAGAGCAGAACAAUAAGUCUACUACCUGAACAGAGAUCUGAUUGUGGAAUAAGAUACCAGUCCCUCUUCUUGUAGGACCCUCCAGAUUUUCUUUUCUUUUCUUUUCUUUUUUAAGAUUUUAUUUAUUUAUGAGAGCCAGAGAGAGAGAGAGAGAGAGGCAGAGACAUAGGCAGAGGGAGAAGCAGAGAAGCAGACUCCCUGUAGGGAGCACAAUAGAGGACUCCAUCCCAGGAUCCCAGGAUCAUGCCCUGAGCCAAAGACAGAUGCUCAACCACUGAGCCACACAGGCAUCCCUCUUCAGAUUUUCUUAGAGCACCUCCUUCACUUGACUUUGAGAGGAAUGUUAGUUACCUAUUGCUGCAUAACAAAUUACCCCUAGAACUUGGUAGCUUAAAAUAAUAAGCCUUUAUUAUAUCAUACUUUCUGUGGGUCAGGAAUUAAGAAACAGUUUAGCUGGGUGGUUCUGGGUCAGAGUUUCUCACAAAUGGAAGUCAAGAUGUUGGAUGGAGUUGAAGUCAUCUGAAAGCUUGAUUGGGGCUGGAAGAUCCACUUCCAAGCUCAUUCACAUGGAUAUGGGCAGGGGGACUCAGUUUUUUUGUCCCAUAGAUCUCUCAUAAGGCUAUUUACAACACGGUAGCUGGCUUUGCCUAUAAUAAGUGAUCCAAGGGCAGCCCCAGUGGCUCAGUGGGUUAGUGCUGCCUUCAGCCCAGGGAAUGAUCCUGGAGACCUAGGAUCAAGUCCCACAUCAGGCUCCCUGCGUGGAGUCUGCUUCUCCCUCUGCCUGUGUCUCUGCCUCUCUCUCUGUGUCUCUCAUGAAUAAAUAAAUAAAAUCAUAGAAAAAACA